UACGUAGGGGGCAAGCGUUGUCCGGAAUCAUUGGGCGUAAAGAGCGUGUAGGCGGCUCGGUAAGUCCGCUCUGAAAGCCCGGGGCUCAACCCCGGGAGGCGGGCGGAUACUGUCGAGCUAGAGUCCGGAAGAGGCGAGUGGAAUUCCUGGUGUAGCGGUGAAAUGCGCAGAUAUCAGGAAGAACACCCGUGGCUAAGGCGGCUCUCUAGUACGGUACUGACGCUGAGACGCGAAAGCGUGGGGAGCGAACAGG
rnacentral:rRNA from 1 species